rnacentral:lncRNA from 1 species
CGCAUAAGUGCAGUUUUGAAAUAGUUGAGUUAUUAAUGAUUUCAAGUAAUAUAUAACUUGAACUACUACUAUAUAUUACUGGUAUACCAGUAUGAAUGUAUAUUCUGUGAAAAAUUCUCUCCCGAAUUCCAAUUUUCAAGCAUCAGAGAGUCAUUUUGAACUUUCUUUCCGCCAUAAGGAUCUAUGUAGUUUCGAAACUUCAAAUACAUUUUUCUCGAAAUAGCAAAAACUGCAAAUAUGCGUCUUGUCCUCCAAGCCUCUCAGUUAUGUUUACAUUCCUUUAAAAUCAGAUAAAAGUGAGUCAAUGGAAUGAUUUCUGAUAUUUUCCUAAUACUUGACGUAAUAAUUGAUUCUUGCAACGGAAUUCCUCGAGUCAAGGCGCGCCGAGAGCAUAGAUGAACGCAAAUUGCAAGUGCACAGACAUUUGAAAAAACUCUGAUUUUUUCGCUGUUUGGUCGAUCGAAAAUGUCAAACAACCUUGAAUUGAUGUGAAAAAUUAAGUAUUAAAACAAAUUCAUUGCGCGCAAAGAUCUAAGUUAGUUUUUCCUUGAAAUCUAGAGCAGGAUGUAUCAUGAAAUAUUUCAAUUUGAGAUUUGUAGUAGCGGCUCCGCUGUCACGCAUUGUCUCGCUGUUUGGUUUAUUGACAAGAUGAAGUGGCUCAGAAUGUGGAACUUGUGGCGUCGAGAUCCAGCUUAUUCAGGAAUAAUUGAUUUUGGAACGGGCUUUUCACAUACUCUCGCCAAGAAUGCUGAAAACAAGGGACAUACUGGCAUUAAAACAUCAUAUUUAUAAUGUCAAUUUGCAGUCCUAAAUUUUAUAGAAGAGUAGGUAUGGUUGAAAUCAAUCUGUUUCAGACUUUUAAAACUUCAAUCUAAAAUAAUUAUUCCUAAUAUGACUGUUGACGAAUGUAAUAACAGUGAAAAAAAAACUUAUCAUCAAUAAUUUGUCAUAUUUCAUUCCUCAUUUUUACGUCAAUGCUUCCCUUUCUCAUCAUACGAAUAUCUGUCAGGAAUGCCUUGCUGUAUAUUCUGUUGUGCUAAGGAAAAACGCCGUAUGAACAUUCGAGAGCUGCCAAAUUUCCCGAGUAAAAUGUUAAAUUUUGAGGAGGGUCAUGAAUAUUUCCUCUGAUAAUUUAAAUCUGCUGGUGAAUAAAAUUAUCUGAAACAUCAGAGGAAAAAUAUUCACAGAUUUUCCUGGAAAUUCAUGUUUUAUCACAGGUAAUUUGGACACAUCUAAAGGCUCAUACGGUGUUCUCCCUUAGCACGGCAGUACUGUAAUAUGCUUUUAUUUUAAGGUAAUAAAUCAUUGAAAAAAGAAAUAAUUGGUCAGUUAAAAUAUUGAGACACUCAUUUAAAGAGCCCUUGUUAUUUUCCAAAAAGCUGAUCGAUACUUGAUAGUAUCAACUGCAGAGGGUAGGUACAUUUAAGAUUAAUGAAUUAUUCAUUUUGAUAAAUCAAGAGAUUUUUUACUAACAACUUUCACUUAUAAUCGAAUGAAAUUACUUUCAUGAAACUAUAAUGACAGACGUCCAGUCAAAAUCAGAAGACAUAAUCCUGUAAUCGCUGUAAAUUAAAAGAAGGAAAGUUUUGUGAUGUAAUUAAAAGAUCAUUAUUGGAGUUUGGAAUCGCACAUAAGAAAUAAAAAACACACAAUAUUCCCGGCAGAAGAAAUUAUCUUAACUGCCUCCGCACAACUAGUUCACAAAAUUACAAAGCCUGGAAUAUUUUAAAAAUAAUUUAAAUGAAGGAAAAACAGAGAUGUCAAAUUCAGAGUAUCCUCAUCGUGAACGGGUACAAAUGGACAAACACAUUGAAUGCAGUAAUUAUAUUAUUAAGAUCCAAGUUAAGACGAAAACAAAUCACAGUAAAUAUUUAGAGCAUCACAUGCACACAACUGUCACUUUUAAUUUAGGGAGGGAAUAAAAGAUACAAAUUAAAUCAAAGAGUGGUAUCCGAUUUAAAAUAAAUUAACUAUUCAUUUCAUUAGAAAGCAUGUAGGACUCACAGUGAUCAACAUAAAGAGGAUUUUGCGUUGAAUUUUUAGAAAAUGAAUAAGACCGUGUUUAACUUUCAGAAAAUUCCCGCAAACGGGCUAUUUUAUGGUGAAAAUUACUGCGAACGCGCAAUGUCAUUGUAAGUAGGUCGAAUCCCUGGUCGCUCAUUACUGCAGAGGCCAAAGAACUUUCUGCACCUUUGCAGUGACCAACAUAACACCAACAUAAGACAAUGUUGGGACCGAGUAGUACCAUACUGUCCAAGACCAAUCCACACAGGUCAGUCAUUGCGCAUCUUUUUGAAAGCCACUUCCCCGCCCGGCCCUAACUCGGCUGCACCCAAUGCUACGUCACAAUGGGUGCUCCCAUAAGAAAUACAUUGCAAGCUCUCAAUACUACGUCACUGCGCAGUAGAGUACCAAAACUCGUCCACGGGAAUGACUGACCUGUGUGGAUUGGUCUUGAUACUGCCAUGCUACGGAAGAACGCCGUAUGAACAUUCAAGAGUUGCCGAAUUUCCAUUGAUAAUUUGUAUAUUUCUGAGGAAAGUUAUGAGUAUUUUUCCUUGAAAUUUUCAGGAACUUUAGAACAAAAUACGAGCAAAAUUCCCUGACAAAAUUGAAAGAAAAAUAUUCCUAAGUUUACCAGGGUAUUCUUGUUUUAUCAAAGAAAAUGUGGCAACGUCUGGAGGCUCAUACGGCGUUUCUCCUUAACACGGCAGCAUAUUGAUACCAUGCUAGGGUCAAAAAAGUAGCACGUUUCACUCAUCAACAUGGUAACAGCAUGAGCGUUUUAAGCAGGGUUGGUAUAGUUCUUUAUCAAUCUGUAGGUCAAUAAAAUCGUUAAUUUUGUAUAUAUUCAAAGAUGUUUUUCUUGUUACAAAGACGUCAGUGUGAUAUUAAAAAUUUUUUAAGGAUUCCAGUUUCAAAAGUUUUAAUCUGCUCACCAUCGUUCAUUCAUUCGCUCAAUAGAAUCAGUAACUCCAAGUGGAAUCAUCCGAUGGACGUAUUACUAUCAAUCGGAAUUAUGUGCAUUAUGACGUGAGCCCUUUUAUGCACAUAUUCUUAUGGGUUUCAGGGCUCAUGUCUUGAUGCACAUAGUUCCGUUUGACAGAAAUACGUCCAAUCGUUAAUAAAGCACGUCUAAAUAGAACUGAAAUUAAGAGUACGUAAAGAUACAGUGUUUUGUUCGAGUAAGGUUACUCACUCACACAAGUUUUGAUCAAAACUACAUGUAUCAGGCAUCUGUAGGUAGGUAGAAUACGAAAAAAAACCAUGCUUAAAAAUUAUAAACAAAGGACAUUUAGCUACUGAUGGAGCAAAGUUUACCAUGCAUUCGAUACUACCGCGCGUAAAAAAAUCAUGAGAGGGAAAAAUGCAGAAUAAAAUUAAGAAAUGUUUUUGGACCACGUUUCAUGGAAUCAUUCGCGUGUAGUGCGUCUACUGAGUACUGAAGAAGGAAAAUGACAGGAUCAUUCUGAUUGGUUCCACACCAAUAAGAAGUUCUUUGAAUCAUUCAAUCUGAAUGGUGCGUAGGGAACGUAGGGAAAAAAGGAAAAAAUAAAAAGCGCCCAAGAUGAUACAGAGCUCAGCACUAAAAAUUCGGCAUUUGUUGAAAAUAGAGAAAAGCUUCCCGCAAGAAUUUUUUUUCCACUUUCUUUUUACCUUUUUCGGCGAGAUUUAACGAUAGUAGAAAAAUAUUUGAGCUCUACCACCAAAAAAAAAUGUUGUUUCGAAUUAAUGUCUGACUUUGCUUUUGUUAAUUUUUGCGUACGUGUAACAUAUAUUUAAAUGUAAACAGUUAGAAAAAUAGCUCAUGGCGUUGGCAGGAACCAAUAGGCAAUGGAAGUCCCUUUAGAGCUAACUCCGGUUUUACCAGCAAUCAAAUGAGUUGGUGACGAAAAGAGUUCUUCCUUUCCAGUUGGCUCCCUCCCUUACCACAGUUAGCAGCCGCAGUAAAAUCACGAAGAGAAAAAAACUUUUAGUUGGUUCGGUGCACUGAAGUUAUUGGUUUUCAAACUCAAGCUCUCUUGUCAUUGAUCACCUUCACGGAAAAAAUGGCUUGCUGAUUUAACAAUUAAGUUGUUAAAAAAAUGGCCGACAUGUUUCAAAUGUACAUUUUACAAUAGUUGAAAGCUAAUUUAACUACGAGGUUGGUUAAAUUAGCAUUUUUUCCACUGUAAAAUCUACAUUAAAGCAUGCCGAAAAUAUUUUUUCAAUAAAAAAUUGUUAAAUCAGCAGUUUCAUUUUCUUCUGUGUCCACUGAUUUUUGGUUUCAGCCGCCGAAUUGCAAUCAAGGUAAAGGAAAGUGCAAGAAACCAUGUUCAUUGCUACCAACAACUUCAGUAUCCCUUACGAAUGAAUCUCCAGGAUUCAUAAAACUAUAAAGUCUUUUCAUCCGUGGAGUAUUAGAGACGAUUAGAGACCAGCAAUUAGUAUAGCAGCGUUUCUUUUAGGUUUUAUUUCAUGAAAAACGUUUGACUUGUUUAAAUUCGUGCUAGGCACGUAUUUCCACAUCAGCGAAGAAAAAAACUUACUCUGGUGAAACAAAUCAACUUGGAAGCUGAUUACGGGUUUUGGAAGGGUCGGAACAGGUCUUAGUUAAUUAAAUUAAAAAACUGUUUUAAGAGCCAUGAACCUUUUGACGAAAGCUGGAAAAAAUAGAAUCGAAUGAUGAAGGAACAAAAUCAUGGAUAUGGUCGCAAAAAUCUAGAUGACAAAACACAAAAGAUAAU